GGCAGUCGUGGCCUAAUGGUUAGAGAGUCGGACUUGCAACCCGAAGGUCAUGGGUUUGAGUCUCAGGUCUGGCA